AUUGAACGCUGGCGGCAGGCCUAACACAUGCAAGUCGAGCGAGCGGCGGACGGGUGAGUAAUGUCUGGGAAACUGCCUGAUGGAGGGGGAUAACUACUGGAAACGGUAGCUAAUACCGCAUACCAUCAGAUGUGCCCAGCUGGGAUUAGCUGGUAGGUUGGGUAACGGCUCACCUAGGCGACGAUCCCUAGCUGGUCUUAGCGGAUGACCAGCCACACUGGAACUUAGACACGGUCCAGACGCCUACGUGAGGCAGCAGUGGGGAAUAUUGCACAAGGGGCGCAAGCCUGAUGCAGACAUGCCGCGUGUGUGAAGAAGGCUUUCGGGUUGUAAAGCACUUUCAGCGGGGAGGCGUGAGCCGCAGAAGAAGCACCGGCUAACUCCGUGCCAGCAGGCGCGGUAAUAG
rnacentral:rRNA from 1 species